UAAACAACGUGCCGCCUAAGGUCAUAAAAACCGCUCUCAAUCUCGGAUUAAACGACUCUUAAGUACGCGAGGUAUCGUGUCGAGAUAAACGUGUACGGUUCCGGGACGAGAAGCCUCUCUCUUGGGCAGAGAGUACGACGUUGCACAGGAUGUCGCGCGAGUGUUACGUACUUUCCCUCGUAGUGCGCACUUUUGACAAGUUUGAAAGUAAUUUUUCCUCAAUGGACGGAAUUUUAUUUCGCGUUUUUUUCCGCAUUAAACACAGACCAAGCGCAAAAAUUUGCGAUAAUGUUAAGUGAGGCGGAGCAUAAACGAAGCAUGAAAAUUUCGUCAUCCUAAGUAAAUUGGUUCGCCGGCUGUUACGUGCCCGCUGCGCUCUAAUUGCAAAACCAACGAGCUGCAUUGGCGCACUCUCACGGGAGCAAAUAUGCGAUGGCUUGGCCGCGGUUAUAUUGCGAGACAAUGUGCGUUGCGGCAUGACACCGUGGACAUAAGCUGCUUGAUGUUUCGAGAGACUGCCUGUUACGAGUCCUCAGUGGCGGUUACUCAAGCCCGACAUCGGCGACCCUAAGCGAAUUCUAACGACUCCGGGAUUUAGAGGCCCAAUUACGGGAACCGGAGAGAAAACGGCUCGCUGGAUGCAAAUGAAUGGUGCCAACAAUGCUGGGACAAGGGAGAGAAAGAGAAACAAAUACGAGCGCAACCUCGGAUAACUCUUAUUGGGGUAACCGCUCGCCGAGCAAUCGUACGAGAGAAACAUACGAAAUAUGUGAUGUACGCAACACACCGAACGGUGCAGACAGCACUAAGGUGGAGAUCAAAUGAAGCAAUUUGAGAUGUGAUACGGGCGAGAGAGAAAUCCGAGAUAUGAUAUGCGAUAUUUAGGAAAUGCCCGUGAUUAGGAACUUCUAUGUGAGGAAAAUACAUGUAACCGCGGGAAUAUUAUUAUACGAGGAGAGAUACGAAACGAGAUAUGCGUGCUUCAAGGGUAAUGAUUAAAUUACUUUUGAAUGCGAGAAGAAUCAUUCUGAACGCUUGGGAAUCAAUGAUAAAAACGUUCGGAGGAAUGAUUUUUGCGAUACCGUCGGAAGAAAGUCUGGGAAACUAGAGAAUCCGCGAAGCUGACCUGAUUUCAAGUCGCACGAUACGCGGGGAGAAAUAAUUUGUGUCGAAUUUCUUCCUUCAUUACGCAGCGCAGAGAUGGAUCAAAGUGUCGGAGAGUUCUUCGACUUAUCGCGGAGAAAUUAAGCGGGAGGAUGACAGUAUAACGAAGAUUAAUUAACGAGUUUUCUUUCAAAGAUGAGUCAGUGAUAGCCGGACGCGCAGUUUCCGUAAUGCGGGUCAUGGCCGCGGAUCUCUAUGAGUCGUCGGCUGGGAGAGAGUCUGUUUUGACCCGAAGUGACGUGAGAAACGCACAAAGCAGCUCCCUCGAAUUUAUUUCGCGGCAGGUGAGCGAAAUCAUUGACGGAGAGGAGGAUACGAGACAUGACAGAGAUCUUCGCCGAUCGCUCGGAGAAACGUUGCGUUGAUUUCGCGGCGAGUUUGACAGAAAAACAGAUAAGAGCAGAAGAAAUGAGCUGAUGACUAUGUUUAAUCUGGCAACGUGUAAUAAACAGACGUAGCCACGCCGGAAUAGUGGGUUUAUUACGUUCUCGGCGCUUUUCACCGGUUUGCAGCUUAAUCCAGCUCGAUUGUUGAAAAUUUCGACGCGGGACGAGGAGAAAAGUCGCAUUCGCUGAUAACAAUAUUAGCUUAACGGUUGUUAGGAUUAAUUGCGGACAUGCUUGGCUUCUCGUGCACCUCUGCGUGCUCUCUCGCGCCGGAAAUUCAUCUCUGUCCCGCGAUAUCAUCGCUUUCACGCGCGACUACGAGAGAUAAUCAGAGCGAUCACGCAUAAAUCGCGGGGACAUCGCAGAUAGAUGUGACAAGUGUUCUCCACACGGGAAUCGUUUCAAGCGAUAUUCUUCGGCACUUCUGCACUCCCAAUAUUAACUUCCGUAUCGCCGUCUAUGGCGGUCUGUUAUUCGCCUUUUAUUUCGACGACUGCGCGAUUGUAGCUCCCGAUAUGCGUAUGACACGUGCGAUAGUGGACGUUUACGGUGUGGGCGCGCGCGCAUAUCUGCAUAAGGGCCUUGCAGGCUGCUCGACAAACUGGCACACGUGGGCAACGAUAUCUGGUACGCGAUAGCGAUUUCGCCAUAGAUCAUGUAAGCGCGACGGUGUUUCGCGCGGUAGCGUUUCGCGAGUCACGAUUCUUCAGUGAGAUCCUGCGUCGCAGCUGCGAUCGGCCCCGAUAGUGCGGACCCGUUGGGUGAUUUUAACGCGACUCGUUUAACCUUUAAUCGAACGGAAAAUAACGUGAACGUUAGUCGAAGACGAGGAGGCAAUGAAACGCCCGUGAACACCGGCCAAAGCAAUAAUACUUUCGCUGUGAGAGGCGACGGCAUCGUGUCAGCACGAAUAGCGACUUGUUUCGGACGAAUAAUAAAAGUUUACGCUCGAGCUAUUUUCCAUACGUAAUAUUUUUUUAUUUGUACAUCGUAAAUAUUCUCGCUUGAAGAACAAGUGUACGGCGCCUCGGUCUCUCGAGUUGUAAGGAAACGAGGUCUUACUCUCUAAAUUUUUUUAAGUGAAAAGUGGCAGUAUUUUCACUCGAGGAGAUAGUGAUAAUACAAAUCGAGAUCGAGAUCACAAGAGUGAAUGUCUCACUUGAGAUUAGAGUGGAUUCUGACUACAUAUAAAUGAAUGUUUCAAUCGAUUGGAGUGAAUAUGUUCUCCCCUGACAACAGAAUGCAUCAAUUCACUCUUCAAUUUCGAGUGAAAAUUCACUCAACGAUUUAUAGUGGAAAAUCCACUCUGUAGAAGUGAAAAUUCGAAUUCGAGUAACUCGAUUGUCAUUCUAUUUUUGGAGUGAAAUUUCACUUCAAAAAAUUUAGAAAGUAAUUAUGGAUCAUUUAAGAAAGACUAGAGUAACUUUCAAUUAUUUAUAUAAAUUCGCCGAUCAAACAUUAAAACGAACUGUUGAUAUCAAUAUGAGUAACUGACAUCAUAGUUUUAAAACAAAAUAUUAGAUCUUAAAUUAGUUUAUUCUAAAUUAUAAAAAAGCAAUUAGAAACAUUUUUUUAUACGCAAGUCGAAAUUAUUAGUCAGUAAAUUUUACGCGUCCAUAUAACAAGUUGUACGAUAUCUAAUUAAUAUUAAUAAUAUCUAUAUUCAUAUAGUGCAUUUUUUAAUUUAGUGAAAUAGAAUAAAAUAGAAUAGAAAAUAGAAUAAUGGUAUACGCAGCACAACCUAUUAUGCAGUUUUAUCCAUCUAGAAUGUCAGUAAAACAACUGAUAUCCUACAUUUUUUUUCAAAUAUUAAAAAUGUUUGUGAAUGUAAUAUUAUAAUUGUAAAAGAACCAAGGAAUAUGAAAAACGAACUAAGAAAUAUAAAAAAAACUUUUUCCGUGUUUUAAUAUGUAUCUUUUUAAUGUAUUAAUAAAGCAAGUUCGACCCAAAAAUUGGGACUCAACUCAUAAUUGGGACGGUUACCUUGCUACGCUAUAAUUCAGACACAUGUCGUCGUAACAAAGUAAUUCUUUCAACAAG